rnacentral:rRNA from 1 species
AUGCUUCAUUGCAACCUCACCGGAGCUCCCACAACCGCCGCAGCGCUUCACUGCAGCUUCCACGUCUUCAUUGCAACCUCGCCGGAGCUCCGACGACCGCCGCAGCGCUUCACUGCAGCUUCCACGUCUUCAUUGCAACCUCGCCGGAGCUCCGACGACCGCCGCGGCGCUUCACUGCAGCUUCGACGGCGCUUCAUUGCAACCUCGCCGGAGCUCCGACGACCGCCGCGGCGCUUCACUGCAGCUUCGACGACGCUUCAUUACAACCUCGCCGCACCCGACGGGAGCCGGCGAAGCUUCACUGCAGCACAACGCGACGGCGGCGAGGUGCUGCGACGAAUAAGGCGGUGGCGACGAAGAUGUUGCGACGCAGCACGCGGUGCCGCUGGAGCUCUGGCAGCCCGAUGUUGCCCUGCUCCUCUCCUCAGCUUCCCGAUUGUAGGAUGUGCGACGAGUGGCAACCCAUCUCCAACACCGUCGUCAUCUGCAGCUCCGGUGGCCACUACCACGCAGCCCCGCGGGAUUCCGCGCCACCGCCCCACACCAUGCGCACCAUCGUCCUCUUUGUUUUCAACAUUGACUGGGUUGGGCGGAGGAUGCAGCAAGCCGGCCGCCGGCGGCAGCCCCUGCUGUUUUUCUAGCUGCUUUGGUGGUGCUCGCCAUGGGUACUCUCCUCUGGCUGUGGGGAUGAAUGGGAUUGAAAAGGGGAAGAAAAGAAACAUGUGGAGGAGGCAGCUUCCCGUUAGAGAUAAGGUUGAGGGAAGCGGUGGGCUGCCUGACGGGGGCCACGUGGCGCACAGAGGAGGGGGUUUACAAGAUGAAGAAAUCAGUCGGUGGAUUUAG